UGCAAGUCGAGGGGCAGCAUGGUCUUAGCUUGCUAAGGCCGAUGGCGACCGGCGCACGGGUGAGUAACACGUAUCCAACCUGCCGUCUACUCUUGGACAGCCUUCUGAAAGGAAGAUUAAUACAAGAUGGCAUCAUGAGUCCGCAUGUUCACAUGAUUAAAGGUAUUCCGGUAGACGAUGGGGAUGCGUUCCAUUAGAUAGUAGGCGGGGUAACGGCCCACCUAGUCUUCGAUGGAUAGGGGUUCUGAGAGGAAGGUCCCCCACAUUGGAACUGAGACACGGUCCAAACUCCUACGGGAGGCAGCAGUGAGGAAUAUUGGUCAAUGGGCGAGAGUCUGAACCAGCCAAGUAGCGUGAAGGAUGACUGCCCUAUGGGUUGUAAACUUCUUUUAUAAAGGAAUAAAGUCGGGUAUGGAUACCCG
rnacentral:rRNA from 1 species